CCUACGGGAGGCAGCAGUGAGGAAUAUUGGUCAAUGGCCGGAAGGCUGAACCAGCCAUGCCGCGUGAAGGGCAGGGCCCUAGGGGCGUUAAACUUCUUUUGUGCGGGAGCAAGAAUGGUCACGUGUGGCCAGACGAGAGUACCGUACGAAGAAGCAGCGGCGAACCCCGGGCCAGCAGCCGCGGUAAUACGGGGGAUGCAAGCGUUAUCCGGAGUUAGGGGGUUUCAAGGGGGCGUCGGCUGGGAGGUAAGUCAGCGGUGAACUGCCCCCGCUCAACGGGGUGAAGUGCCAUUGAUACUGCCUUGCUGGACUGCGGCUGCCGUGGGAGGAAUGUGUGGUGUAGCGGU
rnacentral:rRNA from 1 species